rnacentral:piRNA from 1 species
AGGUAACCUUUGUGGAGACAUUGUUGA